rnacentral:rRNA from 1 species
UACGAAGGGGGCUAGCGUUGUUCGGAUUUACUGGGCGUAAAGCGCACGUAGGCGGAUCGUUAAGUCGAGGGUGAAAUCCUGGAGCUCAACUCCAGAACUGCCUUCGAUACUGGCGAUCUAGAGUCCGGAAGAGGUGAGUGGAACUCCUAGUGUAGAGGUGGAAUUCGUAGAUAUCUGGAGGAACACCGGUGGCGAAGGCGGCAUCCUGGACCAAUUCUGACGCUGAGGAGCGAAAGCCAGGGGAGCAAACGGG